AACGAACGCUGGCGGCGCGCCUAAUACAUGCAAGUCGAGCGAGAAGACGUAGCAAUACGUUUGUAAAGCGGCGAACGGGUGGGGAAUACAUGGGUAACCUACCCUCGAGUGGGGAAUAACUAGCCGAAAGGUUAGCUAAUACCGCGUACGCUUCUUGGACUUCGGUUCAGGGAGGAAAGCGAUACCGUGGGUAUCGCGCUCUUGGAUGGGCUCAUGUCCUAUCAGCUUGUUGGUGAGGUAACGGCUCACCAAGGCUACGACGGGUAGCUGGUCUGAGAGGACGAUCAGCCACACUGGCACUGCGACACGGGCCAGACUCCUACGGGAGGCAGCAGUAAGGAAUAUUGCGCAAUGGGCGAAAGCCUGACGCAGCGACGCCGCGUGGGGGAUGAAGGCCUUCGGGUCGUAAAGCUCUGUCGGAGGGAACGAAUAUUCCUGGGGUUAACAGCCCCGGGAAGUGACGGUACCCUCAAAGGAAGCACCGGCUAACUCUGUGC
rnacentral:rRNA from 1 species